AGAACGAACGCUGGCGGCAUGCCUAAUACAUGCAAGUCGAACGAACACUUCGGUGUUAGUGGCGCACGGGUGCGUAACGCGUGGGAAUCUGCCCUUGGGUUCGGAAUAACAGUUGGAAACGACUGCUAAUACCGGAUGAUAUCGAAAGAUCAAAGAUUUAUCGCCCAGGGAUGAGCCCGCGUAGGAUUAGCUAGUUGGUGAGGUAAAGGCUCACCAAGGCGACGAUCCUUAGCUGGUCUGAGAGGAUGAUCAGCCCACACGUGGGACUA
rnacentral:rRNA from 1 species